AACGAACGCUGGCGGCAGGCUUAACACAUGCAAGUCGAGCGCCCCGCAAGGGGAGCGGCAGACGGGUGAGUAACGCGUGGGAAUCUACCCAUCUCUACGGAAUAACGCAUGGAAACGUGUGCUAAUACCGUAUACGUCCUUCGGGAGAAAGAUUUAUCGGAGAUGGAUGAGCCCGCGUUGGAUUAGCUAGUUGGUGGGGUAAAGGCCUAACAAGGCGACGAUCCAUAGCUGGUCUGAGAGGAUGAACAGCCACACUGGGACUGAGACACGGCCCAGACUCCUACGGGAGGCAGCAGUGGGGAAUAUUGGACAAUGGGCGCAAGCCUGAUCCAGCCAUGCCGCGUGAGUGAUGAAGGCCCUAGGGUUGUAAAGCUCUUUCACCGGUGAAGAUAAUGACGGUAACCGGAGAAGAAGCCCCGGCUAACUUCGUGCCAGCCGCCGCGGUAAAAC
rnacentral:rRNA from 1 species